rnacentral:rRNA from 1 species
CCUACGGGUGGCAGCAGUGAGGAAUAUUGGUCAAUGGACGGAAGUCUGAACCAGCCAAGUAACGUGAAGGAUGACUGCCCUAUGGGUUGUAAACUUCUUUUAUAUGGGAAUAAAGUGUUCCACGUGUGGGUUUUUGUAUGUACCAUAUGAAUAAGGAUCGGCUAACUCCGUGCCAGCAGCCGCGGUAAUACGGAGGAUCCGAGCGUUAUCCGGAUUUAUUGGGUUUAAAGGGAGCGUAGGUGGGUUGUUAAGUCAGUUGUGAAAGUUUGCGGCUCAACCGUAAAAUUGCAGUUGAUACUGGCAGUCUUGAGUACAGUAGAGGUGGGCGGAAUUCGUGGUGUAGCGGUGAAAUGCUUAGAUAUCACGAAGAACUCCGAUUGCGAAGGCAGCUUACUGGACUGCAACUGACACUGAUGCUCGAAAGUGUGGGUAUCAAACAGGAUUAGAUACCCUUGUAGUC